rnacentral:rRNA from 1 species
AGGACGAACGCUGGCGGCGUGCUUAACACAUGCAAGUCGAGCGGUAAGGCCCUUCGGGGUACACGAGCGGCGAACGGGUGAGUAACACGUGGGUGACCUGCCCUCAGCUCUGGGAUAAGCCCGGGAAACUGGGUCUAAUACCGGAUAUGACCACAUGUCGCAUGGUGUGUGGUGGAAAGUUUUUCGGCUGGGGAUGGGCCCGCGGCCUAUCAGCUUGUUGGUGGGUGAUGGCCUACGAAGGCGACGACGGGUA